GGCGGACGGGUGAGUAAUGUCUGGGAAACUGCCUGAUGGAGGGGGAUAACUACUGGAAACGGUAGCUAAUACCGCAUAACGUCGCAAGACCAAAGAGGGGGACCUUCGGGCCUCUUGCCACCGGAUGUGCCCAGAUGGGAUUAGCUAGUAGGUGGGGUAACGGCUCACCUAGGCGACGAUCCCUAGCUGGUCUGAGAGGAUGACCAGCCACACUGGAACUGAGACACGGUCCAGACUCCUACGGGAGGCAGCAUG
rnacentral:rRNA from 1 species